rnacentral:rRNA from 1 species
AGUGAACGCUGGCGGUAGGCCUAACACAUGCAAGUCGAACGGCAGCACAGUAAGAGCUUGCUCUUACGGGUGGCGAGUGGCGGACGGGUGAGGAAUACAUCGGAAUCUACUUUUUCGGGGGGGAUAACGUAGGGAAACUUACGCUAAUACCGCAUACGACCUACGGGUGAAAGCAGGGGAUCUUCGGACCUUGCGCGGUUGAAUGAGCCGCUGUCGGAUUAGCUAGUUGGCGGGGUAAAGGCCCACCAAGGCGACGAUCCGUAGCUGGUCUGAGAGGAUGAUCAGCCACACUGGAACUGAGACACGGUCCAGACUCCUACGGGAGGCAGCAGUGGGGAAUAUUGGACAAUGGGCGCAAGCCUGAUCCAGCCAUACCGCGUGGGUGAAGAAGGCCUUCGGGUUGUAAAGCCCUUUUGUUGGGAAAGAAAAGCAGCAGGUUAAUACCCCGCUGUUCUGACGGUACCCAAAGAAUAAGCACCGGCUAACUUCGUG